AACAUUUCCAAGUGCCAGGCUCCUUUCACUAUAGUUGAAAAGCUGGUCAUGCCCUCAGUCGUGGAUGCUUGCCGAGAGGUUUCAGGCCCAACCGCUGCUACAAAGGAUAGCUUGGACCUGCUGGAUGGAGGAAACAGUCAGCCAUAGAUGUUGACAGCCCUCCUAACCCUUCACCAGUGUCCAUGUAACAUUCUACCUGCUACACAAGAAACCACCCACAUCAACUGUAUUUCUCAAUAUUUCAAUUCACAAGAUAGAAUGAACUUGCGUGUGAGCCAUUGAGACUGGAC
rnacentral:lncRNA from 1 species